rnacentral:lncRNA from 1 species
UAAAGAAAAAUGUCGUUUAUAUAAAGUUACAUAUUUUCCAAAUAAAUUACGUUGUAUAUUACACUGGUAUGUUACACAAGUAAACGGGUAUUUUUUAUUUCAUAUGUGAGGGAUAUUUAACCCAAAUCAGCUUUUACAUAUCGCUCAUUUGCUGCAAGACCGGCAUAAAUCAAAAAACGUGAUUUUUGAGUUAAUGCUGCAGAAUUGUUCGUUAUAUAAUACUUCAUGUUGAGUUAAAAAUUCAUAUGAAUACCUCUUAUAUGGCCGCUUGAGAAGAGAAUAUGCCGUUAUUUCAUUUUAUCUGUUUCAACUUUUUUUAUACGUGAGAGCGACAUAUCUCAGUUGUGCCACUGCUCCCGUCGUGUUAAGAUCGUUUGGCUUUCUUAAACAGAGGCAUAUUUUGUGUUGUGGAGUUCUUCGUAAAAAGGUAUACAGGAAUAGAAUUAAAAAUGCCACCAAAAAGUCGCUUAAGGGAUUUUUUUGAAAAACUUGAAAAUAACGAAGCCAAAUGUCGGUCUUGCCAUAAAUGCAUAAAAACUUAUGGCAACACUACAAAUCUAAAGUUACACAUUGAAAAAAUGCAUAGUUCAUUAUUACUGAAACAUAGCAACGACGAGAACACAGUUCAUAAAACAGGCGCAAAGAAAUUACGUAAGGAGACAUUCGUAAAACCUUUAAUGUCAACUGCUUCUACUUCUGCUGAGAGAAAUACACCUGACUAUGCUUUAAAUGAAAACAGUUCAAUUGAUUCGGAUUGUAGUUUCAAUACAAGUGAUAUAAGUCUAUCGUCUCAUCGCAAAAAUAUAUUCCAGCCGACACUAUAUGAGAGUUUCAGGAGCAUAUCUGAAUUUUCUGAAAAUGGAACUAAAGUUCGACUUACAAAUGCUAUCUUGUGUAUGCCUUGUAUUGCAAAGAUUCACAGCCGUUCCAGAUUGUGGAAAAUGCAGGAUUUCUAGACUUAAUGAAAACAGCUAUUACUCUGUAUAAUGUCCCUUCCAGGCAUGCUUUCAAGAGAAUGGUAGAGAACCGAUAUGAAGUUACAUAGAAACUUUUUAAAAAUAAAAUCAAAGGUGUACGUAAUAUAACCCUGACAAUCGACAUAUGAACGGAUACUAUGCAAACUAGGAGUUUUCUUGGUGUCACUAUACACUUUCUUGACGAAGAUCGCAUGACAUCAGUGACUCUAGGAGUUUAUGAGUUAGACGAAUCGCAUACUACUGAAUACAUUGGAAGAAUGAUGUUGUAGACAUGUCAUGAAUGGUGUACAGAUCCAGAAAAAGUAUUCACUGUAGUAACUGAUGGAGGAGCAGAUGUUGUUAAAGCUGUAGAUAUGUCAUUUGGAAAAAAUGCCAUAUUAUUAGUUUUGCUCACCUACUGAAUUUAGUAGCUCAAAAAUCGAUUGCAAAAUCAAAGCAAUUACCAGAAUUGAUUGCGUCUGUUAAAAGGAUUGUCACCUGGUUCAAGCAUAGUGUAGUGGCGAGUGAUAAAUUACAAAAGGAUUCGGAUCUAAAAUUACCACAAGAUGUCAGCACUCGCUGGAAUUCCACCUUUUAUAUGGAGGAAAGAUUUUUACAUCUGCGACCAACGAUUAAUCAAAUUGUUAAUUUUCAUACAAGUGCUCCUCCAAUGAUAACUGCAAAAUGUAUUGAAGAGUUAACUGAAAUCUUUGAAAUUUUACCCCCUAUAUAACUACUAAAGAAAUAUGUGGAGAAGACUAUGUUACUAGCAGCAAAGUCAUUCCCAUAGUACGAUAUGCAGAGCAUAAUAUUUGAAAUCAGUAACCGCUUGUUACCCUCUGAACAUGUUCAAAUACUUGCUUUAUCUACAAGAUUUAAAAAUAUUCACUUUCAAGAUCCCAUGCAUGUUCGAAAGAAAUUAAAUGUGUCAAAAAAUUAGUAAAUACUCUACGUCUUUGUCUAGUCAAAUGCCUACAGAGUUGAGUUACUUUUUGAAAAAUCCAGUGUCUGAUCUUAAACAAGAUAAGAUAUAUUUGGAAUAAUGUCCUCGGUUCCACUUACCCGAAAUUAAAAAAAUAGCGGUAAAAUAUUUGAGUACUAUCGCGACAUCAACGCCAUCCGAAAGACUGUUUUCAAAAGCUGGUUCUACUCUUUAUCAACAAAGAACCUUUAAGUUCUUCUUUAUCAAAAUUACAUUUCCUUAAGUCAAUUAAUAACAAAUAUUGGGAUAUGUAAUAAUUUGAUCAAUUGCUUAAUAAAUUUCGAACUUA